AAGCACGCAGUAAGUCUGCCAACAUGGCACAUAGGAAACAACUUUGUGAAAUUACCCGCGAAGAAAACAAACAAGCUGCAAGCUGCAAGCUUUGCUCCGAUACCAUACAUGCUGUAGUCUGAGUUUCAUCUAAUUUGAUUCAGACCUAAAAAGAAAGCACGAACGUGAGUACCCGCAACAAGAGAAAGGGCUGGCAAGCCAGCCGAAGAUAACGUCCGCCUUCACCGCUGGGUGCAGCUCUGUGCCUGUUCAUCAAAAGGCUGCUCUUGACGACGCCAUAAUCAACAUGAUUUGCACUGACAUGGAUCCCUUUCGUCUUGUCGAGAGGGAGUGAUUCAAACAAUUUGUAACGGUCGCCGUCUCGGGCUACAAGUUGCCAUCGCGGGAUGACCUCAGAGAGAAGUUCCUGCCUGGGAAAGUACAGCGCUGCAGACUAAAAUAUCAUCGUCUUUGGCGGGAGCGGAGUACGUCUGUAUCGCAGAAAUGUGGAUGUCGCGCUGUACGGAGGGCUUCCUGGCUGUCGAAGCAAUAUUCGUGGAUAGCGACUUCACGGCUCACACGCACCUCCUCAGUUUCACUCGCCUGACGGGGAGCCACACAGCUGCUCGGACCCGCUCCGAGUACAACGCAACGUCGCUGCAGUGGAACAUCGCUGACAAGUGUUCGAUCAAGCGGCACGAAUACGUGCGCUCAGCGACAUCUUCAUGUACAUGGACCAAGUGACAGCGAUCGUCUCGCAGGCCGGUAUAAUGUAAGGAUUCCUCCCCGCUCGCGCUGGAGGACCGCACUGCUCAGCUCGAACCUGACAGCACAACUCUGGGCCGUCCAGCGAGCCGAGGAAGCCGCUUCGAGACAAGGUCUCGGAACCGCGUC